rnacentral:rRNA from 1 species
GAUGAACGCUGGCGGCGUGCCUAACACAUGCAAGUCGAGCGAUCUUCUUCGGAAGGGAGCGGCGGACGGGUGAGUAACGCGUGGGUAACCUGCCCUGUACACACGGAUAACAUACCGAAAGGUAUGCUAAUACGGGAUAACAUAAGAAAGUCGCAUGGAUUUCUUACCAAAGCUUUUGCGGUACAGGAUGGACCCGCGUCUGAUUAGCUAGUUGGUAAGGUAACGGCUUACCAAGGCGACGAUCAGUAGCCGACCUGAGAGGGUGAUCGGCCACAUUGGAACUGAGACACGGUCCAAACUCCUACGGGAGGCAGCAGUGGGGAAUAUUGCACAAUGGGCGAAAGCCUGAUGCAGCAACGCCGCGUGAGCGAUGAAGGCCUUCGGGUCGUAAAGCUCUGUCCUCAAGGAAGAUAAUGACGGUACUUGAGGAGGAAGCCCCGGCUAACUACGUGCCAGCAGCCGCGGUAAUACGUAGGGGGCUAGCGUUAUCCGGAAUUACUGGGCGUAAAGGGUGCGUAGGCGGUCUUUCAAGUCAGAAGUGAAAGGCUACGGCUCAACCGUAGUAAGCUUUUGAAACUGUAAGACUUGAGUGCAGGAGAGGAGAGUGGAAUUCCUAGUGUAGCGGUGAAAUGCGUAGAUAUUAGGAGGAACACCAGUUGCGAAGGCGGCUCUCUGGACUGUAACUGACGCUGAGGCACGAAAGCGUGGGGAGC